GGACGAACGUUGGCGGCGUGCUUAACACAUGCAAGUCGAGCGAUGAAGCACCUUCGGGUGUGAAUUAGCGGCGAACGGGUGAGGAACACGUGAGAAAUCUGCCUUCAACUCUGGGAUAACUCCGGGAAACCGGGGCUAAUACCGGAUAUGAGCCUCUUUCGCAUGAAGGGGGCUGGAAAGUUUUUCGGUUGAAGAUGAUCUCGCGGCCUAUCAGCUUGUUGGUGAGGUAAUGGCUCACCAAGGCGACGACGGGUAGCCGGCCUGAGAGGGCGACCGGCCACACUGGGACUGAGACACGGCCCAGACUCCUACGGGAGGCAGCAGUGGGGAAUAUUGGGCAAUGGAGGAAACUCUGACCCAGCGACGCCGCGUGAGGGAUGAAGGCCUUCGGGUUGUAAACCUCUUUCAGUAGGGAAGAAGCGAAAGUGACGGUACCUACAGAAGAAGCACCGGCUAACUAUGUGCCAGCAGCCGCGGUAAUACAUAGGGUGCAAGCGUUGUCCGGAAUUAUUGGGCGUAAAGAGCUCGUAGGUGGUUCGAUACGUCGGAUGUGAAAAUCAGGGGCUCAACCCCUGACCUGCAUUCGAUACGGUCGAGCUAGAGUGUGGUAGGGGAGACUGGAAUUCCUGGUGUAGCGGUGGAAUGCGCAGAUAUCAGGAGGAACACCGAUGGCGAAGGCAGGUCUCUGGGCCAUUACUGACACUGAGGAGCGAAAGCGUGGGGAGCGAACAGGAUUAGAUACCCUGGUAGUCCACGCCGUAAACGGUGGGCGCUAGUUGUGCGAACCUUCCACGGUUUGUGCGACGCAGCUAACGCAUUAAGCGCCCCGCCUGGGGAGUACGAUCGCAAGAUUAAAACUCAAAGGAAUUGACGG
rnacentral:rRNA from 1 species